UACGGAGGGUGCAAACGUUGUUCGGAAUUACUGGGCGUAAAGCGCGUGUAGGCGGCUAUGCAAGUCGGAUGUGAAAGCCCUCGGCUCAACCGGGGAAGUGCACCCGAAACUGCAAAGCUAGAGUCUCGGAGAGGAUCGUGGAAUUCUCGGUGUAGAGGUGAAAUUCGUAGAGAUCGAGAGGAACACCAGUGGCGAAGGCGGCGAUCUGGACGAUGACUGACGCUGAGACGCGAAAGCGUGGGGAGCAAACAGG
rnacentral:rRNA from 1 species